UGCCGGGAACUGCGCGGCAGGAGCGCGGCAAACUCCGCCAGGGCCGGAAGGCAGCAACGGUAGUCGUUGCCCUGGGCGACGCACCAUUCCCGGUACUU
rnacentral:SRP_RNA from 1 species